GGAUCGGUAACUCAGUGGUAGAGUGGAGGACUGCAGUAUCAUACUACGGCUUCCUUAAGUCACCGGUUCGACUCCGGUUCGAUCCU